AACGAACGCUGGCGGCAUGCCUAACACAUGCAAGUCGAACGAGAACUUCGGGUCUAGUGGCGCACGGGUGCGUAACGCGUGGGAACCUGCCCUUAGGUUCGGAAUAACUCCCCGAAAGGGGUGCUAAUAACGGAUAAUGUCUUCGGACCAAAGAUUUCUCGCCUUUGGAUGGGCCCGCGUUGGAUUAGCUAGUUGGUAGGGUAAAAGCCUACCAAGGCGACGAUCCAUAGCUGGUCUGAGAGGAUGAUCAGCCACACUGGGACUGAGACACGGCCCAGACUCCUACGGGAGGCAGCAGUGGGGAAUAUUGGACAAUGGGCGAAAGCCUGAUCCAGCAAUGCCGCGUGAGUGAUGAAGGCCUUAGGGUUGUAAAGCUCUUUUACCCGGGAUGAUAAUGACAGUACCGGGAGAAUAAGCUCCGGCUAACUCCGUG
rnacentral:rRNA from 1 species